rnacentral:lncRNA from 1 species
UACGGAGGAUAUGCGUGCCAAAUUCAUGACAGCAAUGAACACUAGGCUGCAAAGUAAUGAAGCCUCCUUCAAGAGUCUAAAGAACUAAAUUGGGUAGUUGGCAAAGUUGAUUUUCGAGCAUGCCUAAGGAACUUUGCCAAGCAACAGAGAGACCAACCCCAUUGGAGCAUGUGAAUGUGAUAGCCUUGAGGAGUGGAAAGCAAUUAAUGGAGGUGGAACCAAGAGGAGAAAACAAGCAUAUGAGAGUAACCCAGAUAAGGAGGAAGAAGAAAAAAAGAAAAGAGAUCAAGAGGAGCUACCCAAUCAAGGAAGAUAACACUCCAACAUUCC